AAGUCGUAACAAGGUUUCCGUAGGUGAACCUGCGGAAGGAUCAUUCACAAUUAGUGUUCAAUGGCACUUUCAAUCCAUUACCCACCUUGUGUGCAAUGUCGGGAGGGGGAACCAAACCCACACACCACCCUCUCUCCUCUCUCUCUCUCGUGGGAGGGGGAGGGGAGAAGGAAAGAGGGGGGGGGGUUCUCUUUUUCAUACAUACACUUUAUGUUCUUUCAGUAUCAGUCUACAUCAAUUGAGUAUAAAACCUCUAAUACAACUUUCAACAACGGAUCUCUUGGCUCUC
rnacentral:misc_RNA from 1 species